CAGUAGCCACGGUAAUACGUAGGUGGCAAGCGUUGUCCGGAAUUACUGGGCGUAAAGGGCGCGUAGGCGGACAUUUAAGUCAGGGGUGAAAUCCCGGGGCUCAACCUCGGAACUGCCUUUGAUACUGGGUGUCUUGAGUAUGAGAGAGGUGUGUGGAACUCCGAGUGUAGAGGUGAAAUUCGUAGAUAUUCGGAAGAACACCAGUGGCGAAGGCGACACACUGGCUCAUUACUGACGCUGAGGCGCGAAAGCGUGGGGAGCAAACAGGAUUAGAGACCCCCGUAGUCCCUGUCUCUUAUAC
rnacentral:rRNA from 1 species